rnacentral:rRNA from 1 species
UAUACAUGCAGUCGAACGAUGAAGUUCCUUCGGGAAUGGAUUAGUGGCGAACGGGUGAGGAACACGUGAGAAACCUGCCUUUCAUUCUGGGAUAACACCGGGAAACCGGUGCUAAUACCGGAUACUCCGUCUUGGCGGCAUCGCCGAGCCGGGAAAAAAUUUUGAUGAAAGAUGGUCUCGCGGCCUAUCAGCUAGUUGGUGAGGUAAUGGCUCACCAAGGCGACGACGGGUAGCCGGCCUGAGAGGGCGACCGGCCACACUGGGACUGAGACACGGCCCAGACUCCUACGGGAGGCAGCAGUAGGGAAUAUUGGGCAAUGGGCGCAAGCCUGACCCAGCGACGCCGCGUGAGGGAUGAAGGUCUUCGGAUUGUAAACCUCUUUCAGUAGGGAAGAAGCGAAAGUGACGGUACCUAAAGAAGAAGCACCGGCUAACUAUGUGCCAGCAGCCGCGGUAAUACAUAGGGUGCAAGCGUUGUCCGGAAUUAUUGGGCGUAAAGAGCUCGUAGGUCGUUUGUCGCGUCGAUUGUGAAAAUCUGAGGCUCAACCUCAGACCUGCAGUCGAUACGGGCAAACUAGAGUGUGGUAGGGGAGACUGGAAUUCCUGGUGUAGCGGUGGAAUGCGCAGAUAUCAGGAGGAACACCAAUGGCGAAGGCAGGUCUCUGGGCCAUAACUGACACUGAGGAGCGAAAGUGCGGGGAGCGAACAGGAUUAGAUACCCUGGUAGUCCGCACCGUAAACGGUGGGCACUAGUUGUGGGAACCUUCCACGGUUUCCGCGACGCAGCAAACGCAUUAAGUGCCCCGCCUGGGGAGUACGAUCGCAAGAUUAAAACUCAAAGGAAUUGACGG